rnacentral:ncRNA from 1 species
AUCAAUCACCGCGGGCGCCCGCAUGGGCUGAGAUCGGGGAAACCCGAGCACCGUUAGAACCUGCCCGGGUAAUUCCGGCAAGGGAAGGAACAUCAUGUCAGAG